rnacentral:lncRNA from 1 species
ACAGUAGAGAAGCUGCAACAGAGAUGAUAGGUCCUGCAAAGCCUAACAUAUUUAUCAUCUACUCCUGUAGAGAAAAAGUUUGCCCAACCCUCUACUAAAGCUAAAGAGGAGUCUCAUUUUGUGAUGAAAGAGGCAGGCAACCAAUAGUCAACAGUAAGGAGGAGAGGAAUGUAGCGAUGGGAGAGAGGAAGGGUGACCUUGUUCCAGGGGAGAUGAUCUCUGCCUGUCUCAUCAAGGGGAGGGCCUUUUAGCCUAGGGAUCCCAGGGGUACAGUCUGCUCCUUUUUUUAUAAUCCCACCCUCUUUCCCCCAGUUUCUUUUCCUCUUCACUCAAAGUUCAGUGGAGCUAUCUCAAGAGAUUCAGGUAAGGCUCAGAAGAGUACAGCACACAAACAUGCCGACCCAACCUAGCCUUCCUCCCCCAGCACAGGGCUCUUCCCAGGCCUCUCAGCACAGCUCUCCAGUGCUCACAGGAGAAAUGCUCUGCUCUGGCCAGCUUCCAGCCAACUCUGCACCUCCCCUUCAGCUGGCAGAGCUGAUGGCUCCCUGGCAUCUGACUGCCAUAUCUCGUGCAUACCUUGUUUUGGACUAAUCUUAUACAUUCCUCCCUCAAAUCCUUUCUUCCUUCAGACUCAGCCCUGAAACACCCUCUUGAGUUUUCCCAGUCUCCUAGGUCAGGAAGCCCAAAAGUCAGAUUCAGGGUUUAUGCUGGCUACUUUGAGGUUAACCCAAACUUUUUCUGUCUCUUGUUGACAGACUUAGACUUAGGUACUUUCCUGAGGCUUUCUACUUCCUUUAGACGGUGUCUCUGCCCUUUAAAGCUGACAGCUCUUCAUCACCUACCUGUGGCAAACCACCUCUACUUGAAACACACACCUCCCCAAACCAUAAUUUCUACGGUAGCAUGAUUCUCCAUGGUUCAAAGAGAGGAGAGGGCUUCCUGGGUCAGUUUACUCUGGUGGGGAAGAUGCUAACAUGAAGUCUCUAUUUGUAAACCUGGGGACAAGGGGAGAGCAAGGAAUGAGAGAGGGUCUGGCUGGAGAGAAUCUGGAGGGAGGCUCUCCUGGCAUCUUGUUCUCUCUACACCCCACCACCCUCCAUGUCCAUCUAGAGUCUCCCACCAGAGCUCUUCUCUUACAGGUUUCCUGGGAGAAGGUGGCUUAAGGCUGAGACACUUAUGCCCUGGGCCAGCCACUGGAUUCCUGUGCUCUGCUUCACUCCUAGUUACCAGAAAGGUGGAAUCUGGAUGAGUGGAGCCACUUUCAACCCAGAGAAAGCCCGAGUCCCAAAGCAACAGGAAGAUGUGCGGGGGACCGCGAGUGUGGGGACAUCCUGCCGCCUCGGGCAACUCUGUCGUCCCCCACAGGGUUCAGGUGCUCAGAAAACAGCAGCCACUGAGUUCACUGUUUCCGCAGGCCCCGUAUUCCCGGCCGUGCUCAGCUGGGCUUGUGGAGUCGCGAGCGGGGGCGCUCCUGCGGCACCGCCCCUCCUGGGCAGCCCGGCUUCCAGGAGAGACUCGGCCUCAGUCUCCGAAUGGCAGGGGUCUGGGAGAGGAUGUGAUGGCAAAGGCCUGCCCCUCUCAGGCCGCCUCUAGCAAGUUCUCUACCUUGAGAGAAGCGAGUAGGAGGAGGAAGGAGGCCAGGCUGAGCCAUCU